GAAAAUAACAAGAGAACGGCGAGGGAAGUGGCUGGCAAGUCUGGCAAGAGCUGACUUAUCCGAGGCUGGAAAAAGGCAUCUCCUCGUGUGCAGUGAUCAUUUUUUGAGUGGACGGCCAGCAGUCCUUGAGGAUACUAGUAAUCCAGACUGGGCCCCAACACAGAACCUUGGUCAUCGUAAAGUGUCCCAGGAAUUGGUCGCCAUCAGUUGUGCUCGGCAUCAAAGGAUCCAGGAGAGAAAGUUGAAGAAGGAUAAGGAGAUGUUUAUGGCAGCGCAGACACUCAUGGACAUACAGGAAUACACUCAACCUUGCCAUGACGAAGUUCAUGUUGAACAACAGGAACAGUUGUCCCUACUAGCCAUCGGCCAGACAUUUCAGACAGAGAAGCAAACCAUUGUGUCUAGACCAGCUGCCUGCCAGACAGAAACAGUAACAGUUGCAACUGUCGGCUGCCAAAGAGACCUCACCCUAAUGGAGACGACCAUGUUUGAUCAGCAGGAUGAGGACUUGAACCAGUUACGAACAGAGGUGUAUGAACUCCGUUCUACAGUAGGUGACUACAAUAACCUCAACCUCAGUAAUGAUGAUGAAAAAGUCCUUUUUAUACAGGGCUGCCAAACUAUGCUGUACUGAUGUGCAUUUUUUAUUAUGUUUGCCUUAAUAUUACCCAUUCAAUUAAUUCAAAGCUAUCCCCGUUUCAAGAAUUUGUUAUGUUUCUGAUGCAUCUUCGUUUAAACACAUGCUUCCAGGAUUUGGCCUACAGAUUUAAUGUAUCUCUUUCAACUGUGUCAAGGAUAUUUUAUAAAUGGGUAGAUACAGCAGAUACAAAAUUAAGACAUUCCAUUGUAUGGCCUACUGGCACAAUAGGCUGGGAAGAAAAUAAAUAAAAAAUAGAAAAAUAAAAAUCAGUCACACACACACACUCACCCUGAGA